GAUUCAAUGUCAAGUGUACCUUCCAAGACGAUCUAGGUCCUAGUCUCGUGACUGAAGGCGAGUGCGGACGUACAGCAGCCUUUUGACAAGACUGUCGCCGAGUGCACGGUACAUUGUGGACUGUAAAGCUGAAGAGUGCACAGUGGAUGCCUGAUUUUGGAACCGAGUGUGAUCGUCUGGGCGGUGUGUUCACUCUGCGGGGAUGAUGGCCAGAGGAAGGAUGAUAGACAGACGACAGCUUGCAGACGAAGAUGGGAGCGUUCUACCUGUGAGCCUGGUCGAGCUUAUAUUUUAUGGAUACACAUGCAUGGAUACACAUACAUGGAUUCCCUACAAGGACCCUGCGCAUCAAAAGCAAUCUGUCAUCAAUGUUAAGUAGACAGAUUAAACGAAACGAAGAUAUGACAGGUGUACACCAUAUUUUUCUUUCAUUUAACCUCUGCAUGUUUCCCAGU